AUUGAACGCUGGCGGCAGGCUUAACACAUGCAAGUCGAACGAUGAAACUCUAGCUUGCUAGAGAAGAUUAGUGGCGGACGGGUGAGUAACAUUUAGGAAUCUGCCUAGUAGUGGGGGAUAGCUCGGGGAAACUCGAAUUAAUACCGCAUACGACCUACGGGUGAAAGGGGGCGCAAGCUCUUGCUAUUAGAUGAGCCUAAAUCAGAUUAGCUAGUUGGUGGGGUAAAGGCCUACCAAGGCGACGAUCUGUAACUGGUCUGAGAGGAUGAUCAGUCACACCGGAACUGAGACACGGUCCGGACUCCUACGGGAGGCAGCAGUGGGGAAUAUUGGACAAUGGGGGCAACCCUGAUCCAGCCAUGCCGCGUGUGUGAAGAAGGCCUUUUGGUUGUAAAGCACUUUAAGCAGGGAGGAGAGGCUAAUGGUUAAUACCCAUUAGAUUAGACGUUACCUGCAGAAUAAGCACCGGCUAACUCUGUGCCAGCAGCCGCGGUAAUACAGAGGGUGCGAGCGUUAAUCGGAAUUACUGGGCGUAAAGCGAGUGUAGGUGGCUCAUUAAGUCACAUGUGAAAUCCCCGGGCUUAACCUGGGAACUGCAUGUGAUACUGGUGGUGCUAGAAUAUGUGAGAGGGAAGUAGAAUUCCAGGUGUAGCGGUGAAAUGCGUAGAGAUCUGGAGGAAUACCGAUGGCGAAGGCAGCUUCCUGGCAUAAUAUUGACACUGAGAUUCGAAAGCGUGGGUAGCAAACAGGAUUAGAUACCCUGGUAGUCCACGCCGUAAACGAUGUCUACUAGCCGUUGGGGUCCUUGAGACUUUAGUGGCGCAGUUAACGCGAUAAGUAGACCGCCUGGGGAGUACGGCCGCAAGGUUAAAACUCAAAUGAAUUGACGGGGGCCCGCACAAGCGGUGGAGCAUGUGGUUUAAUUCGAUGCAACGCGAAGAACCUUACCUGGUCUUGACAUAGUGAGAAUCCUGCAGAGAUGCGGGAGUGCCUUCGGGAACUCACAUACAGGUGCUGCAUGGCUGUCGUCAGCUCGUGUCGUGAGAUGUUGGGUUAAGUCCCGCAACGAGCGCAACCCUUUUCCUUAUUUGCCAGCGGGUUAAGCCGGGAACUUUAAGGAUACUGCCAGUGACAAACUGGAGGAAGGCGGGGACGACGUCAAGUCAUCAUGGCCCUUACGACCAGGGCUACACACGUGCUACAAUGGUAGGUACAGAGGGUUGCUACACAGCGAUGUGAUGCUAAUCUCAAAAAGCCUAUCGUAGUCCGGAUUGGAGUCUGCAACUCGACUCCAUGAAGUCGGAAUCGCUAGUAAUCGCAGAUCAGAAUGCUGCGGUGAAUACGUUCCCGGGCCU
rnacentral:rRNA from 1 species